rnacentral:misc_RNA from 1 species
UAAGGUCACAAAAACAAAAAAUUUAAAAUAUAACAGUACAAAGCGCGUGAAAUAAUAAACAAAAACUUAUCAACGAGUACAAAGCGAAUGGAUGCAGCAAUAAGCUUAUUCAAGUCUUCUCAUUGUUCUCUGACUGAAUAGUAAUGAGAGUUAAAAGAUCGUUAGAUGAAUUAACCUUUACACAAGCAACGCAGUUGGUCAACGUGAACUUUACGCAAUCACAUUUUCCAGAAAAUGUUCAAAGCUUCUACAAAACUGCAUAAACGUGUUCAAUCUGACGUCGAACACUUGUCACUAACUGCUUGACAAUACUACUUCAGAUCGAGCGAUUGAAAUAAACUUAUUUGGCACAAGAUCACACGGUCUUAAUUUUUAAAGUGAAUCGUACGUAAGCAUUGUAAUUCAAUAUCGCUAAUCAUGCCUUUAAGCUUUCAAUUGUAAAGCUUAGCAACACAUAGGCUUAAUUCUAUUCUAACCAUAACCAAUGUGCCCGUAAUAUGUCAGACUUACCCCUAAAACCAAUAGAGCGGAAGUCAAUAACAACAAGGGAAAUAUCGCCAUCAACAGUUACAAACGCAGGAAUUGCAACCGUAAAAACAACAGAAACCACUGCUGCGAAAUCAAAAACCAAGCUGUCAAAGUUUGCUACUUUAAAAUCUCACAACAAAGCACAAGACUUAAACCCUUUGCAACAUAAAGAAACAGUAUACAAAGCAGCAUCACAGUCGUUGCAACAGUCAGCUAUUGAUAUAUUUGCGGCAGAUAUUAAGCAACCGACUUCACCACAGCAUCUCGAGCAUCUGACCAGAUCCAAAGCAGUUUUUGAACGGAAGCGUCGACGUAAAUGUAAAAACAAACGAUCCUGUUCCUUAGUUAAUGUAAAAGUAGCUGACGUAAAAGACGAGAACCUUGAAACGGAUGACCAGGAACCAAUGUUAAGAGCAGAUGUCGAACUUUUUCAAGGAAAAAUCGUUUUCAAUUUAGAUGGUAAUGCAUUCAUAAUCGCUACAGAAAGCUCAACGCAAGAUUCAAUUUUGAAUGCAAAAACAGUACAAAAAACGACUGAAUCUAAGCAAUUACUGGCGUCAAACGUGGUUGGGGAAACAAAUAUUGCAACCAUAAGCGUAACAACAACUACUGUUGCAAGUGCGCCAAAAACAACAUUGAGUACAUCAUCGUCUACGAUAGAGGAAGCACCAGGUGGUCGGAAUGGACAAAGACCCGAUGCGUUAAAAUGCAGCACAAGCCCUCGUAUACAUUCAUUUCGAAUUGUGAGUGCUCAGGAUGCUACAACUGCCAACGUUGCUAACACUACCACCACCGACAAAAGCAGUGUGGAGAAAACGGAGUUCAGAAAAUUGUAUAUCGAACAGCAACAGCGUAGCCGAUACAGCACCUUCGACGACAACGAUAGCGAUAGUAGUAAUGGCCACAAAAUAUCUUCCAAAAUACAAAAGCCGAUAUUGAUGUGCUUUAUAUGCAAACUAUCAUUUGGGAACACAAAAUCUUUUAGCUUACAUGCUAACACAGAACAUCAACUGACACUACAAGCAAAAGAACAGCAUUUAUUAAACCGCGAAUACUCGAGCGUAAUUAUACAGCCGCAAAAUAUGGAUGAACGGCCACAAAUAUCAUUCCUUGAGCCAAUUGAUGUGCUCAAUGGAAUCCAAAAUGACAAUUUAAAUUCUGAGACUGAUAUUCAUUUUAAUGAGGGUACAUCACAAGUAUUUUCUUGUAGGCUAGAUAGUACGGUUGAUACUUCCAAUUCUGAGAAAUCGACUGCAGGAUGUGUAAUACGUGAAAAAUCGGAGAAAACAGCGCCAAUAUCGUCAAACUCUAAUUCACUAUCGCCAUCUUCAUCGUCAACUUCCCCAGUGUCAUCAGUAGUUCCAAUAACACAGACAGCUUUGUCACCAUCAAAAACAGCACCAAAUACGUUGUCCAGCGCAAUUGACUGUAUUAACGAUAGCCAUCUAUUGCUAACAACCUCAUUUUCAAAAUGUAUGCUCCAAGAGCAGCAAUAUGAGAUGAACGUUCCUGUGCCAACGACAGCAGUAACAACACUGUUAUCAAGCCCUAAAUUUGACAGCAGUGCACAACAGCAGCAGCAAAAAAUUAAGGCAAAUGUACCCCUAGAAUCCGUCAACAGUACUGAUUCCAAAGUUCAAAGUGCAUCGAUAUCACCAUCACUGUUUCCAUCAACAGAAAAUAAGUUAGCAGCUUUCACACUCUUAUUACCAAAAAAAGAAUCAGAAAAUAUUACUAAACUGGACGAUACAUAUAGUUUGGACACUAGUACUGCAUCUGAAAGCGUUUUAUGCUCAAAUGCUGAUGUUCAAUUGAAGCCCAAAUUGAUAGCGUCCCCAAUCUCUACAACCAAAAACACCUCUGUGACCUGUGAUAUGGGCAAUAAUUACGAACGCGGUUUAUAUUCAGAUGGCACCCUUAGCCCACCUUUGUCAACAUUUCGGAAAAGGCAUGAUAAAAUGCUAGGAAUGUCCACAUUAUCAGUUAAUGCUCCAAUUACUCAAGGUGACUUUGUACAUUCUCAAGAGCCUUCAGGAACAAUUUCAAAGGAAGAUAAUAUGUUGAAUUCAACAGAUACACUGGCAGCCACAGUUACAUUUUUGCAGCAGCAGCAACGACAAAUUGCAACAAUGGCCAGUAGCUCCUUUGACAGUCCUCAACCGGGAUUAGUGACCAUUGCACCCACGCCUACUCAACUCAGCUGCUUACAAGCUUCUUUGGCAGCUUUAUCUGAUGACAUAAAUGUCAACUGUGGUACUACAGAUGCACACAAAACCAACGCUAAAUUGUUCACUGAUUUUUUGCAACAGCAUCUUAAUUUACAGCAGCAAAAAAACUUUUCCGACAUUAGUGGCAAUUAUUCCGAACAUGCCGACCAUAACGAUGGCGAAAAUUGUGAAAUUCAACAAUUAAAGACGCCUCCGUAUCACAUUUCAAACCACCAGUUUACCAACAACACGUCGCAAUUCUCGCCAAAUCGCAAUAAUGGCAGUCGUACCAAUAGCGCUAUUAUGAAAUCUCCUGCACACAUGGCCACAUCUCCUACAGCUAUCAAUGUCUCAACUGCGGCAGUAGCAGUGACAGCGACAACCCAGCAACAACAUGCAGUUGCUGCUGUGGCUGCUGCAGCAGCAGCAGCGGCCGCAGUCUCAGUGGCUAACAAUACCCCAAGUUUUACUAUCGGUGCAUGUUCGGACCACAUCAACGGAAGGCCAUUAGGCGUUGAAUGCGCUCGGUGCGAAAUAAUUUUAAAUUCAACGCGACUUAAUACUGGCGUUCAAAUGUCAACUCGCAAUUCUUGUAAAACAUUGAAAUGUCCUCAAUGCAAUUGGCACUACAAAUAUCAGGAGACACUCGAAAUACAUAUGCGUGAAAAACAUCCGGAUGGUGAGAGUGCUUGUGGCUACUGUUUGUCAGGUCAACAGCAUCCUCGUCUAGCACGCGGCGAGUCAUAUUCUUGUGGAUACAAACCGUAUCGGUGUGAAAUUUGUAAUUACUCGACAACGACAAAAGGCAAUCUUUCUAUUCAUAUGCAGUCAGAUAAGCAUUUGAAUAAUAUGCAGGAGUUGAAUAGUUCACAAAGUAUGUUAGCAGCCGCCGUCGCUGCUGCUAAUAGUGGAAAAGCGGAUGUUGCAUCCAAAAUGUUGAUGUCCAACAAUGCUGCAGCUGCUACUCAACAACAACAGCAACAGCAGGCACUGCCGCAGUCUCAGCAGCAACAACCACAUUCUACGCUUGUCGCCAGUUCUUCCAUGAUCAGUAGUGGAGGUCCUUCUUUGAACGCUGGUGGUCGCUCCAGUGUUGAUGGCAUUGGAACUAAUUGCAGCAUGCUCAAUAAAAAUAAGCCGUCCUUUCGUUGCGACAUUUGCAGUUAUGAAACAUCUGUGGCACGUAAUCUUCGUAUACAUAUGACCAGCGAAAAGCAUACGCAUAAUAUGGCCGCACUGCAAAAUAAUAUCAAGCACAUACAAGCCUACAGCUUUUUACAACAGCAUCAGCAAGUAAUGGCCGCACAUCAGCAACAACAAUUGGCAGCAGCAACACAGGUGCCACAAUCACAAUUACCAGCACUGGCCAGUGGUGCAGCCAAUAGUUUUUUGCCUGAAAUCGCUUUAGCUGAUUUAGCUUAUAAUCAAGCGAUCAUGAUACAAUUGCUGCAGCACAACUCUGUUAAUCAACAACAGCAGCAAUAUGACUCUGCUGCCAAAAUGCAAAUAAAAACUUCACCAUGUUCCUCACCGCGUUCCAUGCAAAUAGAGCAGCAGUCAACAGUUAUUCAGCAACAACAGCAACUCCAACAAUUACGUCAUCAUUUGCAGCAGUCUUAUUCACCUAACAAUAAUUCAUCAUUAUUACCUUCGGCGGAUCCGUUCAGCACUAGCGAUGCACAUUUUUCUUCCAACGUUAGUGCUAGCUGCAGCAACGAUGAAAUGUUGGAGCCACCCAUAAAUGCCGAUCCAUGUCCAAAAAGCGUCUAUAGUUGUUUAGUAUGCGGGGUGUACGGAACAAAUAGUUUAGACGAAUUAAACCAACAUUUGUUAAUUGAUCGCUCACGUAGCUGCAAGAAGCAGCAAUCAACACCAAUAAGUACAGUCAAAAGCAGUUGCACUGAGAAAGCUAAUGUAACUAAUAGCAAUGAAGUGAUGGUGAUUCUAAACAACAAUUACAUUUGCCGAUUGUGCAACUAUAAGACUAAUUUAAAGGCAAACUUUCAGCUGCACAGCAAAACGGACAAACAUCUACAAAAAUUGAACUAUAUAAAUCAUGUACAUGAAGGCGGUAUACAAAACGAAUACAAGCUAAAACAUUUACACCUAGCUUCCAACACAGUACAACUUAAAUGUAACUGUUGUGAUUUCUACACAAAUUCCAUCCAAAAGCUGUCAUUGCACACACAGCAUAUGCGUCAUGAUACAAUGCGAACAAUUUUCCAACAUUUACUACAUAUCAUGGAACAGCAAAAUUUUGAGCGAAACAAAACCGAACAAAUGCAACCAUACUCUAAAACUCAUUCACUUAAAGAUGCAGUUGAAAUUGUUCCAAGUAUUCGUGAGUCGCAUAGUGUUAUGCCUGUUCAUGAAAAUGAUGGAAGUCACACCAACCGUAGCAGCAGCAUUGUAGUGGAAGACACGCCCGAGUCGAUGCAAAAAUCUUUAACAUGCCAAUUGUGUGGUUUUAACACGUUCACGUUGCUUAAUAUGAUCCAACACGUAAAAAGUAUGCGUCAUAUGCAAAUAGAACAGUUUGUAAAUCUACAACGACGCAGCGAGCAACUUGAUCCUCCUAGUCUAGAUGACAUUUUCAAGGUGGUAGAACGCCCUACACUACAGUCUUUGGCACUAACAGUUGCUGAAAGACAAGAAGAAAAUAACAGAAUUGAGAAUGUCUCGCAAUUCGGCAAUUUUCCGGUGCCAAUGGCACGCUUACCAAACGAUGAUUUCGGCUGUAUUACGUCUAAUAGAGAUCACAACUCUUUUUCACCGUCAUCUAACUCCUCAACUGCUUCAGGAAACACCAGUGUACGCAGCAAAAGCUUUAAUAGUGUCAAUAUUUUUAACUUUCAAACUAUUAACGAUGAUAAAGAUGCUUCAUCAUCAGUCUUGUCGGGAGGUAGCCCCCCCGUCAUGCCCUCAGUUGUAUUUAAAUGCAACAAUUGUGACUUCUUUGCACAUUCUAAAACAGAAAUGGAACUGCACCUGAGUUCAGUACAUCCUCAAACUGAGCCAGAUUACAUUAGCAUACCAACGAACUCUGCUGCCAUAGAAGCAUUUCAAGCGGCUGUAGCGGCAGCGACAGCAGCAGCCUCUGCGGUGACUGCCACCCGUGCUCCUAGUAAUAAAUCAUAUUCAGAAAAUGAUAAUUUCCCCACUAUUGUUAAAAGAGAGCGUCUCUGUACCCCAGAAGAUGAGGAAAACGUAAAGUUCGCAGAUGUACAAAACACAAUGUCGCUACAUAAUGUGUCGACAGUUACACCGUGGCUCACAUCGCCAACGAAUACAAUAAGUAAUAACGAAACUUCAGUAGCUAUGGUUCAACCCAAAUCAAUUCAUAAUGUGUUACGUGAAUUGGAAAAGACCGCUGAACAGGAAGAACAGCUAAUUGAGGAUACAACUGGAGUCAACGCAUUGGUUGAAAGUACCAAAAAAUUUUCCGGAGAACCAGUCAAUGUUCAGUGCCCCCUCUGUACAGAUACAUUUGAUAACAAACAGACAUUGGAAAUGCAUUUGAUGAAUGUACAUAGUGUGAAUCGCGAUGGUUUAUCACGUCUCCUUCAACUAGUAGACAAUAGCGCUUGGGAUUUAAACGGUAAAACCUCAAUAACCCUUACUGUAGCUAAAGAGUGUAAAGGCUCAAAUAACGAAACCGAAACAACAACUGAACAAACUAUCACUGGUAAUUUUAAUAUUAAAGCAUCGACAGAAUUAGACUUAACGCUAAUGGAAGUUUCAAAUGACACGCCUUUAAAUCUCAAUGCUUCACAUACCUCUACUUACAUGCAUUCCAUGGAAUCGCUAAAUAAUAAUAAAUUAUCAUGUGAACAAUGUGGUUCGAAGUUCAAGCAUGAACUACAAUUGUUGCAACAUGCGCAAAAAAUGCAACAUUUCAAAAUCUUGCCAAAUGGUGAUCACCGUUGUUUGGCUGCUAGUCAUCUUAGUCGACCGUGCCAAUCAACAUUUCCCACUCAAGCUGCAAUGAUCAUCCAUUAUAAAAAUACUCACACUAGCUUGGUCAUAUCCGAGCGACAUGUGUAUAAAUACCGAUGUAAACAUUGUUCACUUGCAUUUAAAACACAAGAAAAACUAUCUACCCAUUUGCUAUAUCACACUAUGCGCGAAGCCACCAAAUGCAUACUCUGCCAACGAAAUUUUCGUACUACUCAAGCGCUACAAAAGCACAUCGAUCAAACACAUCAUAGUAGCGGCGAUCAACAUGUCGCCAGUAACAAUCCAUCGAUAGCAUUAAGUUGUAGCGGCCGUGGAUCGCCAGCAUUACAGAUGAGUCACGUCCAAAACACAACCCAAUUAAAUGCAGUUAUAUCAGAAAAUUCAACUAAAAACCAAGACAUCAAUGCUCGUGAAUCACCCCCAAUGACACCGAAAGCAAAUGAAUCUCCCAACGUCGCGCCUUCUCCAUUACCAGCUAACAUAUUGCAAGACCAGCAGCAACAACAACAUGUUGCUGCUUUCACCGCUGCGUUAUUAAAUCAACCAUUACAGCAACAACAGCAUAUCAGCGGUGAUGAACUAACAGAGAGCGGUGGUCAUCUGAUGCAGCAUUUACAAAUGAAACCGCGUAAUAGCCUCUUAACACAAAAAUAUCUUCACCAGCAGAAUCUUCAAAACCUUCAACAAUUGCCACAAUUGACUGCAGCAGCAUCUACAUCCGGCUUGCAAUUGAACCCUGUCGAGAUGUUUAAUUUAAUGCAGUUUCAUCACAUUAUGUCAAUGAACUUUAUGAAUCUUGCACCGCCACUUAUAUUUGGGGUCGGCACUAAUUCUGGAUCUGGUGGCAACGUUGAUUUGUUAACAUCCAGUCACAUACCUAAAGUUACUCACAACACAAGUGCCAACGCACUUCAAUGUGGGAACGAUAUGCCUGUACCAUGCACAUCAGUGUCGCCACGAACGGACCUAAUAGGUACAUUGCAGCAACAUCCUCAGUCCCAAUCGCAGCAACCUGCACCAACAAAUACCGUUCAGAUGGGAAGUAAUCAGAAACGUGCACGGACGCGUAUCACUGACGACCAGCUAAAAAUUCUGCGAGCCCAUUUUGAUAUUAAUAAUUCACCAAGCGAAGAAAGCAUAAUGGAAAUGUCACAAAAAGCAAAUUUGCCAAUGAAGGUCGUCAAGCAUUGGUUUCGGAAUACGUUGUUUAAAGAACGUCAAAGAAACAAAGACUCCCCCUACAACUUUAAUAAUCCACCAUCUACAACCCUAAAUUUAGAAGAAUACGAACGCACUGGACACGCAAAAGUUAUGCCGCUGAGCGAGGAUUUACCUACGUCAUCGCAUAACUCUAUGCACCAACAACAAAAGCAAAAUAUGCAUGUAUCUAAUUCCAAAAACAAUUUUAAAGAAAAACCAACCUCUAUGUCGGAAAUAAGUGGCGAUUCCUCGUUAUUAAUUGAAAUCAAAACUGAACCAUUCGAUGAUAAUAUUGAGCCACACAUUACAACUCCAGGGAGUCCACAUCGUCAACAGCAACCACAAGAGCAAAGCCAACGAGAACAGCAUAAGAAAGACGAGAAAGAUUUAUUGAGCACGUCAUCGACAUUGCUGCUCAGUAAACAACAACAGUAUUUAUCCGCAUUGCCAGCGACUGAACAUCAACAACAACUUCUUGAAGUGCCAGAGAACACAGCAGUGGAAACCGCUGCUGUUACGCCGUUGCAGCAGCAUAAUCACCAACAACAACAUUUGUCUAGCCAAUCAAAUCAAAAUAUUCACCAGCAACAAUCACAGCAUAUCAACCUAUAUAGUUAUGAAACCAAAUCAGAAAGCGGGAGUUCCGACAUCCUCUCCAGACCUCAGUCACCAAACAAUAGUUCCGCUGUUGUAGCCACACACUACGCCAGCAUUAAUGAGUUAAUAAACCAACAAUUGGAUAAUUUGCCGCUCGGCCAAAACAACAGCAAUAUAAAUGCUGCCAACAUUCACGGUAACAAGAUGGGUCCGCCGAAAAACUUUCAAACCAGCAAAUCAUUCGAUAAAAAUUCGCCGUCUUCUCAGUUUGACACCAAUUCGAAUUCAUCGAAUGCCUCAUCCACAUCUAGCGGAAAGCGUGCAAAUCGCACACGCUUUACGGACUAUCAAAUUAAGGUACUACAGGAAUUCUUUGAGAAUAACUCCUAUCCAAAGGAUAGCGAUUUGGAGUAUUUAAGUAAGCUAUUAUUGCUUUCUCCACGAGUUAUUGUUGUCUGGUUUCAGAAUGCUCGCCAAAAACAGCGGAAAAUUUAUGAAAAUCAACCAAAUAACUCACUUUACGAAACCGAAGAGAAAAAACAUAAUAUUAACUACGCCUGCAAAAAGUGUAAUAUGACAUUUCAGCGCUAUUACGAGUUGAUACGCCACCAGAAAAAUCAUUGCUUUAAAGAAGAAAAUAACAAAAAAUCGGCCAAGGCACAAAUAGCCGCAGCACAGAUCGCACAAAAUCUCAGCUCAGAAGACUCCAAUUCCUCGAUGGAUAUAAAUAAUAGCAGUGCGUAUCAAUUACAUCAUCAACAUAUUUCUAAUGCUGGAGCAACAGCGGUGUUGUCAAGUAAUGCCAACGUUUCCAGCACAUCACCCAGCAGCGCAGCUCCUGACCUUACAUCGCCACAGCACUUAUUUGGUAAAUCGUCAAUGUCAAUGACUGAUUUUAGUCCAUCCACUACACCCACUCCGCCACAAACACAACGUGAGCGUAGCGAUAGCAGUGAAUUGCUGCCGCAAGGCCCAGUGCACAAGUCAAAAUUCGAAUGUGACAAAUGCAAAUUACAAUUCAGUUACUACGAACAUUUUCGCGAGCAUCAGUUAUUACAUCUAAUGAAUCCUAGCUUAUUUAGCACACAAAUCACAAACAUACCAGAGGCUUAUGGUUCAUUUGGCAGCAUAUUGCAAAGUUUACAGCAGGUUGCAGCUGCCAGUGCCACGCAUCAACAGCACCACCAAUUCCUAGAACAACAAGACCAACCACCCGCAAAAAAACGUAAGUGUUCUGAAACAUCUUCAACAACAGAUGAAGUGCCAGCAAUUUGUGGCUCUGGUGAUGGUGAAAUCAGCAGCUCUGUCUCAUUUUCAAAAAGUAAAAGAUACGAUUUUUUAUAUCAGUAUUUUAUGCUAAACGAAAGCAACAAUGAAUUGAAGCAACAAUUUCAAGCACAACACAAAAAAUCACAUGAACCAGAAAUCGAAAUGGAAUAUUUAUCAAACUUUUACCAUCAAAGUGAGUUACGAAAACGUAGUAAUUAUGAUUUCUUGUAUCAAUAUUAUCAAAAAAAUGAACACAAGCAAAUGAGUGCUUUGCCGUCCCAAGCGGGAUUUUUCGGUAGUGAGAAGCCCAAUAUAGAUGUUCUACUACAGUACUAUCAACUGAAUGAAUCAAAAAAGUUUUUUCAGUUAAAUGCCUCGAACCAAGAAAUAAAUGACCACACGGCAGCGUCGCCAAUAUCGACAUCACAAUACCAACAUGUAAAUAAUCCGAUACCAAUAUCGUCUAGUGACCAUACACCCACACACAGAGUUGAUCGGUAUGAUAUAACCGAUAUGAGUUCGUUGAAAAACUCUUUGGAUGUCCUUAAUAGUACUAUUCAUUUUCCAGAUUACGAUAAUGACAACAACGACCACGAAACAAGUAGUAAUGGUUGUGGUAUGGAUGUUGACGACGCUGAAAUUUUUAAUGAUACCGAUGAUCAUAUUAAUGACAAUAACCAAAAAUCGAAUGAAAUUAAUGGUCACAAAAGCCAAAUAAACGUAGUGAAAAGCAGUAACGAUACUGAUAACAAGAGUUAUCAGCAAGUAGCUAAUAAUAUAGCGAAAAUGGAUCAAAUUAAUAAACUUGCUACUAACCUGCAAUCUCCAUCUUCUUAUGGCAAUGAUCAACAUAAGCUCACGAAUUUAAGUAAAUCUCUGGCCAGAUGUGUAACAAAUCAAAAAGAUAAUCUGACAAAGCGUAAAGCAUCAAAUGUGUCAUCAAAAACAAAAUCAACAACAACUACCAGCUUUAACAAUGACCAUAUUGAUAAUUUAAAUGAUUUUCUUCAUGUUAAUCAAAAAUCCGAAUUCAAAGAAAAAAGUAAACUGCAGCAGCAUUAUAACGAUUUACUGCAAGCGCAAAAUGAAACCAACGGCCUUGGAAAUAAUGAAUUAGCCCUACAAACAAUGGAUAAGCGACAGUUACCAGAGACUCCAAUAUCAUCACCGAAUUCCAUUACAAUUUCAAAUAAUAAACCUAUCGUUGGACCAUCGAACACUACAACAAACACAGUCACUGGUAUUACCGAAAAACAACAAAGUAAACGUUUACGCACUACAAUACUGCCAGAGCAAUUAAAUUUUCUAUAUGAAUGCUAUCAAAACGAAUCGAACCCAAGUAGAAAAAUGCUUGAGGAGAUCGCAAAAAAAGUUAAUCUUAAAAAACGGGUUGUACAAUAAAAUAAAAUGUUGCUGUUGAUGAACUGAUCUUUAACUUUAGAAUUUGCUUCAUUAGCUUGCUGUGCCAACUCAUUGCUGUAUAGAAAACACAUAUUUUUCGUCUGGAUACGUUUUUAAAGGUUUGGUUCCAAAACUCACGUGCCAAAGAUAAAAAAUCACGCAAUCAACGUUUUACUGCAAUAUCCGAUGACAGU